rnacentral:lncRNA from 1 species
UAAAAAUUUCACAGAAAUUUAUAAGAAAUUUUUAUUUUUAUUUAUUUAUUUAUUUAUUAUUAUUAUUAUUAUUAUUUUGUGAUAGGGACGGGGUCACUCCCGGCCCCGCCACCCCCUACCUCCACCACUGCGUGUGGGAAAGUCACACAUUGAAAAAAGAUGGAGUAAGUUCGGUUGCAUAUGGAAAAGUACUAGAUUAAAACAUUU